rnacentral:rRNA from 1 species
UACGUGGGAGGCGAGCGUUGUCCGGAGUUACUGGGCGUAAAGGGUGCGCAGGCGGCGUCACGCGUGGCUAGGUGAAAUCUCCUGGCUUACCUGGGAGGGUGGUAGCCAGACGGUGGCGCUUGAGUGUGGGAGAGGCGCGUGGAAUUGCAGGUGUAGCGGUGAAAUGCGUAGAUAUCUGCAGGAACACCAGUGGCGAAAGCGGCGCGCUGGACCACUACUGACGCUGAGGAACGAAAGCUAGGGGAGCAAACAGG